UUACUCUACGAUAACAUAAAAGCAACAUUCUUCAGAUGCCUGAAAUCUGAAAUAAAAAUCACAAAAUGCUGGAAACACUGAGCAGGUCAGCAUCAGCUGGAAAUACUCAGCAUCUGCAGAGAGAGAAACAGAGUUAAUGGACCGGAUGUUUGUGGAUUCGUGGAGACUCUGGACCUUUAAAAAUAGCAGAUGGGAUACGGAUCCAAAAGUCCUGUCCUAUCAUUUCUGACAUCCCAUUUUUGCCGGUAGAGGGUGGGGCGUGACUCACACACAAGGAAAACCCAAACUCAGCAGGGCCAUUCAAACAGAGAUAAAAACAAAAAACUGCGGAUGCUGGAAAUCCAAAACAAAAACAGAAUUACCUGGAAAAACUCAGCAGGUCUGGCAGCAUCGGCGGAGAAGAAAAGAGUUGACGUAUCGAGUCGACCUCAUUUUCAUUGUAGCAAGGGCUGAGCCCGCAGUGUGGGAGUCACAAAUUUAUGGAGAUGUAAAUGCUCAUGAAGGGCGGAUAAGGUUUCUAUGAAUGGUGUACUUUUAUUAGAAUGGGAUUGGUGCUCUGAUCAAGACCAAGAGCACUGAAAGAAUCAUAGCACCUGUUGCUACUGGAGUGAGCCAUUUGAUUAUAUUCAGUGAAUGGAAAGUCAUCUAAGGAAAUGGCCAGAGUAACUGAAGAACUUGUUAAUGCUGCAAAAAGAUUUGUGGGAAAACUCUGAGGAUGAUCUGCUUGAAAAGCAAAAUGGACCCGACAUUAGAAUUUGCUGCAGUAUCCGGAAAGGGCAUUCUGAUGGCAGACCAGAAAGUUGGUAUUCAGCCAGCACUUCAUGAACACAGAAAUGAGCUUGUCACUUCCGCUCAGGAUUUCCUACAGGGGACUUUACGGGGUAGUUCUAAGCGGAGCCCCUGGCCCCGAGACCCACAAUCUGGUGGAGAAAAGCUUACAAGUGUUAGGAAUUCAAAGUCUAUCUUAUGCCAGUUCACAUAAAUAGUUUCAGAAAGCCAGCAUCAUCUGCAGUCUUGACUGAAAGUACAGUGCAGGGUAACGUUAACCUCACCUACCUUGUUAGGAAACGCACAGGAUCAGGUGGCACACCAGUUUUACACCCCGCCCGUUGAUUUUAAUGGAGGGUAAAAUUGGGCAAGAUGUUACAAGCCAAGUGUUACACUCAAUCCCACCAGUUACCUGACAAGCAAUUUAGGCUAAAUUGCCCCCACAACAAUUUUGAACCCAAAGUUUUGACUGUUGUUUUGACUCCAGUUUCUGCGAGGGAGACGCCGUUUGCCUUUUCUAGUUGUGUUGCAUGGGGCGGGGGAAGAAGCAAAGUGAUAUCUGAGAAGGUGAAUGUCCGCAAGACAUUGUGUUCCCCCAAACUCUAGAAUCAUAGAAAUUUACAGCAUCGAAAGAGGCCAUUUAGUCCAUUGUGUCUGGAGCAGCUGUCAAGUAGACAUCGAGCCCAGUCCCACUUCCCAACGAUUGAUCCCAUAGCCUUGUUGUUUAUGGUACUUCAAGUGCAUGUCCAAGUAAUUUUGGAAUGUUAUGAGGGUUUCUGCCUUUAUCACCUCUGCCUCUAGCUACUCUAAUCACCUGUACUUUAGUCAGUAAGCUCCAGAUCCCUACCACCCUCUGGGUGAAAACAAUUUCCCCUCAAAUCCACACUAAACCUCUUAAUCCUAAAUCUAUGCACCCAGGUUAUGGAUGCCUCAACCAAGGGGAAUGGGGACUCCUUACUGAUUCUGUUGUAUAUUCUCAGUUGGGAGCAGGAUUGAGGACUGGAGCUUGAGGGUAGUAGCAAUUAUGAUAAGAAGGAAAAGAAACUCAAAACUGGGAUUGACGAUCCUGAUUUCCAUGGUGAAUGAAUCUGCCAAGGCUCAUUGUCUAUGCCCAUACAUGAAGAUCAGCCAUUGCAGCCAGGCACUUGAGGUCCCUAGGCACCUGUGAAAUGUCAUAAAUCAGGAGGAACAGAAACCUGAAAGCCAGCAGUCUUCAAAAGGCUCCCACAGCUCCACAGAAACUGGACAUCUGAAGGCUGUUGGCAUCUCUGGAUGUGGUGAUUGACAUUUGCCAGUUCAUCGUGCUGCCCAUGCAAGCAAUUCUGGAUGACAAGGGGUGUGAAAAGACCAUUAGUCACCAAAACAUCAACCACUUUGUACAAGACCUGACCGGAUGGGCUAAGCAUGUAGCACAAGCUGCCGAGUGGUGAUAGAAGUGCUGGCUCAGGGCAGAAUUGUCCCAGAUUUUCACUAAGUGCAGUAGUCAGAGAACUGCUGGAGGCCAGGAAUCUGCUGUGUCCAAGUCAGAUGACGAGCCUCUGGACUUGGUCAUACCUCAGUUGCUGGAGCAGCAAAGGCCAGCUCAGGAAUAUCAUGAAGGGAUGUUUGCUGCACUCCUCAGGUUGUAAAGCACAAUGGGGUCCAUCCAUCUUCAGGCUGAGGUGAUAGCGCAGGCAUGCCAACACACCGAGGUCAACACUGAUAGGAAGGUGGAUGCCAUGGAGACCUUGAUCUAAGACAUUGCUACAGCAUUGCUGUGCAGGCUGAACUCCAUUGCUGAUACCAUAGUUGGCCUCCAACAGCAUGUACAUGGGAGGGGUGCAGGUCACCUCGUUCUCACUCUAGCUACCCCUUCUCCUCAAGGAGUCAGCCAGGGGCCCUCAGGCACCCAUAAUAAGCAGGAUCAGCAGGUGCACACCC